UACGAAGGGGGCUAGCGUUGCUCGGAAUUACUGGGCGUAAAGGGAGCGUAGGCGGAUAGUUUAGUCAGAGGUGAAAGCCCAGGGCUCAACCCUGGAAUUGCCUUUGAUACUGGCUAUCUUGAGUGUGGGAGAGGUUAGCGGAACUCCGAGUGUAGAGGUGAAAUUCGUAGAUAUUCGGAAGAACACCAGUGGCGAAGGCGGCUAACUGGCCCAUUACUGACGCUGAGGCUCGAAAGCGUGGGGAGCAAA
rnacentral:rRNA from 1 species